rnacentral:rRNA from 1 species
GUCCAGACUCCUACGGGAGGCAGCAGUGGGGAAUAUUGCACAAUGGGGGAAACCCUGAUGCAGCGACGCCGCGUGAGUGAAGAAGUAUUUCGGUAUGUAAAGCUCUAUCAGCAGGGAAGAAAAUGACGGUACCUGACUAAGAAGCCCCGGCUAACUACGUGCCAGCAGCCGCGGUAAUACGUAGGGGGCAAGCGUUAUCCGGAUUUACUGGGUGUAAAGGGAGCGUAGACGGCAUGGCAAGUCAGAUGUGAAAGCCCGGGGCUCAACCCCGGGACUGCAUUUGAAACUGUCAGGCUGGAGUGCAGGAGAGGUAAGUGGAAUUCCUAGUGUAGCGGUGAAAUGCGUAGAUAUUAGGAGGAACACCAGUGGCGAAGGCGGCUUACUGGACUGUAACUGACGUUGAGGCUCGAAAGCGUGGGGAGCAAACAGGAUUAGAUACCCGUGUAC